AAAUGAAGCCUAAAAUGAAGUAUUCAACCAACAAAAUUUCCACAGCAAAGUGGAAGAACACAGCAAGCAAAGCCUUGUGUUUCAAGCUGGGAAGCAUGUGGUCUUAACUUGCUACUACUGAUGAAGAAGAGAAUAACAGAUGAAGAUAUUUGAAUAAUCAUCUUAGUCAAUUUGUGUUGCCAUAAAAAUAUACCUGAAGCUGGGUAAUUUAACCCUUUUUCCAUUUAGAAAAAAAAGUGCAGCUUGCUGCCAGUGCUUAUUUAAUUUUACAUAAACAUCUCUUUGAGGCUGAAGCAAAUCUGAUUUUCAAUGCAAAAACAGAAUACAAAAACUGUUCUUGGGAGUUAUUUCUAAACAGAACUACCAUCAGCAUUGUCUAUUUCAGAAAAAAUGAGAUUCACCAAAUGAAACUUCAGCAAGCAACUAACUGUUCAAGAAGUGUUCAAGAAUGUUAACAUCACAUGUAGGAAUGCUACAUUUUCUAGGAUUUGACAUUUUCAGCGAUCAAGAAUUACUAUAUUUUAUCAAUGAAAAUACCACUACUAAAAACAGAAUGCUAUAAAUAGAAUGAUGUCUUUUGUUUCCAAAGUUGAUAUACUAGAGAGAUGUAAAAAUAAUAAUAAAAGCAAGAUCUUUCGUGGCAAA
rnacentral:sRNA from 1 species